rnacentral:lncRNA from 10 species
GGGGCACUGCGACGGCGUUGACUGAGGGGGCGCCACUAGGCGCGGUCACGUGCAUUCGCGGUGCAUUCGCGGGGGCGUCGGUGCGGGUCGCGUCUCUUAAGACACCCAGGGAGACAGACGUGGGGCAGAACUCAUGGGCUGAAGUGAGAGAUGGCUGGGGCCCAGGCGAGCGACCGAGCAGGGUCCGAACAGAGCCAGCGAGGGACCCCGGGCUGUGCUUGAGGCCCGACGACGCGCCAUAUCCCGGCAGCGCCGCAGCUCAGGCCUCUGCGAAUCUGUGGUCCACACGCUGAUAAACUUAGAGGCCUCUGCACUGGGGCAGAAACCGAAAGGCAUGACCCAGACCGAGAAAGAUAUUUGCAUACUGAGAAAGUGUGAAACACAAUUGUCGAGACUAAAAGGAGACACUGAGAGGAUACGCCAAUCAGAGACCGGAUUCCACCAUGUUGCCCAGGCUGACCUCAAACUCCUGGUCUCAAGUGAUCCACUUGCCUUGCCUUGGCCUCCCAAAGUGCUGGGAUUAAGUUCUGAGUCUUAACACAUGUAUAGAGUUAGUAACUAUCCCUACAAUAAAGCUAUACAAGACUUCAUCACCAUCCUCCACCCAAAAAACUCCCUUGUGUUGUCCCUUUAUAGUCAUAUUCUCCCCUACCCUGAAACCCUAGCAACCAACCCAUUGGUCUGUUUGCUAUCACUAUAGUUUUGUAUUUUCAAGAAUGUAAUAUAUAUAUAUGGAAUUAUAAAGUGUCUUAGUUUGGGCUGCUGUCACAAAAUACUAUACGCUGGUGGCUGAGACAGCAAGCAUUGAUUUCUCAUGGUUCUGGAGGCUGGGAAGUACAAGAUCAAGGCACUGGAUGACCUGGUAUCUCUUAAGAGCCCACUUCCUGGCUUGCAGACAGCUGCCGUUUCACAUAUACUCACAUGGUCAAGAGACAGCUGAUCUCUCUUGUGUCUCCUCUUUAAGAGCACGACUCCUUUUCUUUUUUUCUUUCUUUUUUCUCUUUCUUUUUUCUUUUUUUUCUUUCUUUUUUCUUUUUUUGAGACAGAGUCUCACUCUGUCACCCAGGCUGGAGUACAGUGGCAUGAUCUCGGCUCUGCAACCUCCACCUCCCAGGUUCAAGCAGUUCCCUUGCCUCAGCCUCCCGAGUAGCUGGGACUACAGGUGUGUGC